ensembl:lncRNA
AGAAUUGCCUUUGACCAUUUGUCAACUGGGGAAUGCUUUGUAUUCUUAAAGAUCUGAGUCAGUUCUCUAGAGGUAUGAGAUAUGAAGCCUUUGUAAGAUAGAAACUUGCUACGAAGAUUUUUACUCCAGUUUUUUUUCUAUAAUCCUUUUAAGAUACAACUUCUUACUUUAGCUCUUAUUUUAAUUGGACACUUGUGAACUCAGUGAUUUGAGGGUCCCAAUAAAAGUUCAGAAAAAAAAUGUAUCAAAUGGACUUUUACAAGGCCAAGGUGGCAUAAGAUAAAUAACUCGUUUAUAAAAGUAAUUUUCUACUCCCUAUUACACCUUUAUUUAUAGACAGUCAAUUUGGUAACAAACAGUAUUGUCUCUUUUACAGAUGUGUUCAAACUAAUAAAAUCUAAGCUUUCUUGUCAUUCAUUCAUUCUAAAUGUUUAAAUUGAAUAUCAACCAAAAAAUUCUCUUUCCUCAAAUAAAUGAUAGUCUAAUAAUAUAUUUUAUUGUCCUAUUUUAAUUCCUAUUUUAUUUCAGUCAUGCCCACACAAUUCUACAUGACCCAAUUUGGGGUUUUCUUGGCAGAAAUAAUACAAUGGUUUGUGAUUUCCUUCUCCAGUUUAUUUUACAAACCAGGUGCCUGAGGAAGAAAAGGGCAAGUGACUUUUUCAGGAUUGCAAAACUACUUUGGAGGCUUCUCUUUGUCUGCACAUGGAAACAUGAUAAUUUUCUUGGUAUUUGAAUAUAGCAUGUAGGAUCUAGGGCAGGGAGACCAUUUGGAGCACUGAUUUCUUCUAAUGACCACCUCAAGAGCACUAACUUCCAUUUCUGUGUAUAGACCCCAAUUUCAAGUCCCGGAUGUGUAAUUUACAGCGUAACAGUGUAUGUGACCCUCAGCAAAAUACCUAAUUGUUUGUGCCUCUCUUUCCUCAUCCAUAAAAUGGAGAGGUUGGAAGAAUUGGUUUUGAAGAUUCUUUCAAACUCUUUAUCUCUGAUUCUAUGACUGUGAUCUUUGGUCAACAAGCUAACAAUAAGCAUUAGCCCUUUGUCAAACUGUGAUAAUUUCCUAGAAUCCAUAUUUCUUAUCCUGAAACAACUAGCCUGGGUUAUUUUAAUUUAUAUCCUCCUAUAGAGCUUCUCUACCUCAACAUCAAAAAUUCUAUGUAGUAGAUGGAAAAGGAAAUAAUCUGUUCAUAAGCUGAUAUAAUUAAGCCAAUUAUACUUUGGGGAAAAACCUCAUGUGAUGUCUCCACAUUUAACAAGGCUGAGCUCAAAUGGCAGGCACAAAGCUCAUUGGGGUAUGAAUAUUUGAAGCUUUUCUUUGUUAGAAUGUGUGCAGAACUCAUUCCCCAUUGACAUAGCAAUGAAGAAUUGUAGAUAAUCAUCAUAAUAAGGCAUUAGAGUUGAGUUUAAAUAGAGCCCCCCCCCCAAAAAAAAAACAGUGAAUAUAUGCCAGAAAUCAACUUUUUUUUUUUUACAUAGUAGAACCAAGAGUCAUGGUCUUAUGAAUAUUCAUUCCAGUGUUUUGGUAGGAAAAGUUGUUUUUUCUUUGAUGUUUCUGAAUCAAUUUUCUGUCACACCCCAUGGAAAGUCUCCUUUCUCAACCAAUAUUUUUGCAUGUAGGUAGAUUCUUCACUUUAAAUAAAUGUCAAUAGACUGACCUUCA